CGGGGUGUAGCGCAGCCUGGUAGCGCACUUUCUUGGGGUGGAAGAGGUCGCCGGUUCAAAUCCAGUCACCCCGACCA
rnacentral:tRNA from 1 species